GUUGGACAAUGGGCGAAGCCUGAUCCAGCCAUGCCGCGUGCAGGAAGACGGCCCUAUGGGUUGUAAACUGCUUUUGUACGGGAAGAAACACCCCCACGUGUGGGGGCUUGACGGUACCGUAAGAAUAAGCAUCGGCUAACUCCGUGCCAGCAGCCGCGGUAAUACGGAGGAUGCAAGCGUUAUCCGGAAUCAUUGGGUUUAAAGGGUCCGUAGGCGGGCAAUUAAGUCAGAGGUGAAAUUCUGCGGCUCAACCGUAGAACUGCCUUUGAAACUGGUUGUCUUGAAUCGUUGUGAAGUGGUUAGAAUGAGCAGUGUAGCGGUGAAAUGCUUAGAGAUUGCUCAGAAUACCGAUUGCGAAGGCAGAUCACUAACAACGUAUUGACGCUGAGGGACGAAAGCGUGGGGAGCGAACAGGAUUAGAUACCCUGGUAGUCCACGCCGUAAACGAUGGAUACUAGCUGUCCGGUCUUCGGACUGGGUGGCCAAGCGAAAGUGAUAAGUAUCCCACCUGGGGAGUACGUUCGCAAGAAUGAAACUCAAAGGAAUUGACGGGGGCCCGCACAAGCGGUGGAGCAUGUGGUUUAAUUCGAUGAUACGCGAGGAACCUUACCAGGGCUUAAAUGUAGUCUGACAGGGGUGGAAACACCCCCUCCUUCGGGCAGAUUACAAGGUGCUGCAUGGUUGUCGUCAGCUCGUGCCGUGAGGUGUCAGGUUAAGUCCUAUAACGAGCGCAACCCCUGCCGUUAGUUGCCAGCAUGUAAUGAUGGGAACUCUAACGGGACUGCCGGUGCAAACCGCGAGGAAGGUGGGGAUGACGUCAAAUCAUCACGGCCCUUACGUCCUGGGCUACACACGUGCUACAAUGGCCGGUACAGAGGGCAGCCACGCCGCAAGGUGGAGCGAAUCCUUAAAACCGGUCUCAGUUCGGAUCGGGGUCUGCAACUCGGCCCCGUGAAGCUGGAAUCGCUAGUAAUCGGAUAUCAGCCAUGAUCCGGUGAAUACGUUCCCGGGCCUUGUACACACCGCCCGUCAAGCCAUGGAAGUCGGGAGUACCUGAAGUCGGUGACCGCAAGGAGCUGCCUAGGGUAAAACCGAUAACUCGGGCUAAGUCGUAACAAGGUAGCCGUACCGGAAGGUGCGGCUGGAACACCUCCUUUCU
rnacentral:rRNA from 1 species